GUACUAUAUAUAUAUAUAUAGUCCUGAGCUCUGUUUAACUAUAGGAAGCCCCGACCACCCGCCCGGUUGACCAGACGCACCAUCUGGUCCACCCACUAUAAUGUUUACGCUUAGUUAUACACAUGUUUACGCUCAUGUACCAUCGUAUAAAACCAACCGCUCUACCUGGCCUUCCGCGAUGGCUGAGACUAGGGUUUCAGUGGUGGCGGUUGCGCGACACGAGCGAGCACGGCGAAGCCAGCACGACCGCGGCGGACAAGCGUCCCCAUAGACGAGAUCCAUGGCAGAUCGCCUCCCCGUCAUUGUUCCAGAGAUCCGAUUAGUCAAAAUCUUCGAGAAGUUUCCAUCGGGCAUCUCCUGGACGGCGACCUGCAGGGGUCUUCGUACGCCGUAACGACACUUCACGCGAUCGCCUCUAUCGUCGUCGUUGCGGGCGAGGUCUUCUUCCAAGAGAAGUUUGAAGCCGACAGCCGUGGAGGGAUUGGAGCCCAGAAGGAGGUACUUUUACAAGGUUGUUGGUGAGGAGCUUGAAGUUUUAACUGGAAUGGAGUCAAUCUGUUUUGCUUAGCUCUUCGGGAACUCCUAAACGUUUCUCAGCUGGAAGGAUUAAUUAAUAUCCAGAAUUUGAUGUGGUUAUGUAUGAUGUACUUUAUAUUUUGGCAUAUUAUACACAAAAACAAAUGCCUUCUAUAACCAUCAUGAUUUAUACAUUUUCAAACAAAAUUUUACGAUA